rnacentral:rRNA from 1 species
CUCGUUGGUGACAGCGG